UUGGGUUUUGGCAAAGAGCUCGCUCUCCAGGUGACACAUCUCAUUGCGCUAGGCAGGAACAAAAUUGGACAGUAUCUGGGAAGGCCUGGCUAAAUCCAUCCUGCCGGAUCCAACGAGCUCGGUGCACCACCUAACACAAGGCUGAACUGGGCUGAUCCUUUUUGUUGAUACAAUUAAUGCAGACUAAGCACAGGUGUCACUUAGGCCGGGCCAGGUGCAUGGCAGUUUGGUCUUCAAACAAGUAGAGACACCUGUGCCUGCAAUUUGUGUCCGGUCUAUUCGUAACUGGCCUAGCGUAAGAAAAAAAGGCAGAUGUGUGGAUGCAAACUGCAGUGAAGUGAUGGGUGUCAAUUUGGACAGAACUGUCUUUAUUCUGAGCCAAAACUGGGCAUGUAACAUCAGCAGACACACAUAAAAACAUACAAAAACACAGGCACGCUUUUAUAAAAUGUGUAGUAACACACUGAAUGUAUAUAGUUGUGUGGUAAUAGAUGAACUGCAAAAGAGUCUGUGAGCUUGUUUUCCCUUCAAAGAAAACUCAGUAUGUCCUAGUACAUGUAGUCAGAGACACACACAGUGGGUUUUACGCUGUUGUGAAUUCUGCUGGCUUACACAAGCAACAUUGUGCUGUUGUGGCUGAAGACUCAGUCCCCAGAUCUGCCAGGUCUCUUAAUCACAGUUGUUUGUAUCAGGUAUGAUUCAGAGCUAGCUUAGAGAUGCUGUGCUGUCUAACUAGGUAAAUAGGAAUUGAAGGAGCUCCUGAAUUCACACAGAGAUUUGUCUCACCUGUUUUUAAUUUUAGGAUCUAGCCUGAAGUGCACCGAAGACAGUGGCCUGCUAGCAGAGCUUGGCCAAGAAUGGCUGGAGACCAUAUAACUUCCUAUUUGUUUUCUGACUUGGUGGCUACUGAUGGCCACACAUUUUACACAUGGCCAGCUCUUGCUGUGGAGCAUGUCUGUUUAUAUUUUCUUUGAAAAGCUGCAGGUCAGAUGAGUUGACAAAUGCUGGAGCCAUUUGUGCUGUACAUUAAAAAUGUAUGUGCCACAAAUAUCAGGGCACUACAAGACCUGCCAUUUUGAGGAAGAAGUCACUGUGGGCUAUCUGCUCUAGCCCACAGGGGUAAUAUGACAUUUUUGUGCCACUUGGAAUGAGCUCCAUCACAUCAGGUGAAGUGAUUCAUGAUAACCUCAUGCAUUUUAAUGUAAAUGUCAACUGCAAUCUAGUAAAAGAAAAUGUACCUUAGAUACCUUGUCUAAUACCUCAGUGCUUGCCUGUGCAUUGUGGUGCCUGAAAGAGAUUUCGGAAGCCCCUCGACAUAGCCAUGCAGUUCUUUACGGGUUAAAGCCAUACUGCUGCCUGCUGAUGGUGAGGUGUGUGUGGUUUCUCCUGCGUGGAGGGUGAGAGUUUAACUUUGCUAAAGUGGGAUCUAUGUCCUGCCAGAGGCUGCACCUCCCACGCUUGAUGUAAAUUAUAGUUUAGCCAAAGAGAAGCACAUUUAUGUAGAGAUAAAUGGGAUCAGAGCUUUGCAGAAUGUGUUUUCCUGCAAGUCUGUAUGUAGAGCACUACCAUGCAGCACAUAAUAACAGUUCUUAAUUCCUCGCAGAUCAUAUGCGGUCACUAAUGUAGCUGUGGCGGCAGUGGCAAAGACAAUCCUGCAGCCUCGGCUGUUCGCUGUGUGUUUUAGAGACCCAGGGGAGCUGACACGAGGAAAAGAAGAGCAGAGGUUACCUGCCUCUUCCAGAGAUGCACAGUGGAUCUUAAGGUUGUGCUGCAUCCAGGACAGGAGAUGUGCAGGCCUCUUGUGAGCCACAUGGUCCUGUUAGCCACGUCCUGCAUCUUUCGGGAGUUCUCUGGAGACCACACCAACAGAGCUGUGUUAGCUGAUCGGAGAACCUACCCUGGAGAGAGGGGAGACAGUGGAAGCAAAAACUGCCGGGGCCUCUUGGAGGCAGAGACAGCAGGAGCAGAGCCCUUGGACUGUGUCAGCAGGUUCACAGAUGCCCAUUUGGAUCAGCACUUUGGAAGGGGACAAGCAAAGCCCAGGGAUCUGCAGCAGGCUUCCCAGCCCUGCGUGUGCUCCAUGUGCUGCGUGAGAUUUGCUGCAUCCAGUGGCCACUUCUAGCGAACAGGACCUCAUUCACUUUGCCUGAAUGUUUUCACAACCUUUCAAGAAAUCUGCGCUGCUACACACCAAUGCUGCCUCUUUUCAUGUAAGCCAGUUGUUGCUCCUACCACCCUUAUGUUACCACUUCUAAUAGCUCUUCAGGAGUGAUGGAUGAAAGGGACAGCUUCACAGAAAAGGAUGCUAAAGCCAGAGGUGAUGUUUUUCACUCUUUCAACACAUCAUCAAAUAGAUCACACUGCAUAAUUAGUCUCUCUGAACUGGGGAUCCAUUAUUUAGUAUGCACAGUGUUUGUUUAAGAGAUCCUUGCUCUUUUCUUUUAACUGUGAAGGGCUUUUAACUGCCUUUGAGUUGAAAAACUGUGACCAAAUGUUGUCAACAAGUUAAGCAGAUUUGUCCUGAUCUUACUGGUAGGUUAUUUCACCUUCUGCCCUUCAGAGUCUGUCUGCAACUCCCUUAAAAGUAAAACCUCAAGUGUUGGCCCAGGUUCAUAAGCCCAACUCUUGUUUGUGGGUUGUUUUUUUUUUUGUAACUUUUAAGUAUUACCAUGAUCCAGGUGAUUCUUUGUGUAUGUGUGUGUGAGCAUGCGUGUGCUGCUUUUUCUACAAAGCAUCAGGGUCAAAAAAACUGAACACUUUCAAUUGCUUCAAGGAAAACUAUUUGUGAAAGAAGAAAACAAAAGCAGAUUCCCAAGUAUUGUGUACUCAGAGCAGACAGAACAAGGCUGGGAGAAAUAUCAAUCAUUAUCUUCCAAAAGUUUAUUUAGAAUAAACAAAAUAAAAAUUCCUAAAUGUAACAAUAUGUAACAUAUAUUUACACUUAGCUCACUAAUUUAACAGUUGUAUCAGCAUGGUCAGGCGUUGGAAACAGCACAUCUAAGGUGAGCAAUACAGAUAGUAUUUCUGAAUAGUCUAAAACGUCUAAACAACAUCUUUCCCUUUCUUUUUUUUCUAGUCAUUGCAGCAUUGUUACAGGAAUCAGAACUGAAAUAGUUGCGCAAUAAUACUAUUAUUAAAAAAAAAAAAAAAAAAGGGAAGAAGAAAUUGACUGUUUACUUCUUUAUCCGGUGAAGUGAUCUCAGCUGCGACGUGAGACCCGAGAGGUGUCUUCACCAGACCUCGGUAAAGAUUUCAGCAGGUGGUUUAACAGACGGGCCCCAAGUGUCUUGUCCAUCCACUCGCAGGUGAGGAGAAGGUUGUGGACCUCGUGCAUGCACUGAAUGUAUCCAGUGCUGUACCUCUGCUGAGCUUCAAGACCCACUUUGGAAUCAGCUGCAUUGAACAGAAGGCAACUGGAGUUGGUAAGUGUGUAAAACCUGCACGUCCAACUUAAAAACAUUUGAUAGGGUCCUGUCUGCAUUGGCCCCUGUGGGGGCUUAUUGCUGAAACCACACUGAGCUUCCAGCUGAAAUCAUUGCAGGGGGGCUGCAGCAGGUCAGGGCCCUGCUGCUCCCAGGGUGAGGCAAAAGCUCUGCAAAUGGUGCAAGUCAGAGCAGUGGGGUCCAGGCUGGAGGGGGUACAGGGCUCAGGUGUCCUGCUGGAGUUUCCCACUGGAACAGGGAUAUCUCAGGGAGCUUCCCUGCCAGUCUAUAGCUGCCUUUUGGGGCCCUUUUAAGACACUGGGAGACACUGAAAAAUGUAUUCUGUAAGGCCAAGAUACUGGCUCCUGGAGUAGAGUAGGUAGAUUGCUUCCUGCCCCGUUUUCAGCCUGAUUUAAAUCGCUUGGGCUUUAUGAUAUGUUAGUGCUUUGCAAGGUUCAGGGGGAGGUGGUGCGGGGAAUGAGCUGCCUGGCCAGGCCGCCCCAGCAUCCUGCUGCCCACCAGCAAGCAGAGCCAAAAAGGAACAAAAGGAGAAACCGGCACUGGAAGAAAAAGCUUCCGUGGGUUACCAAGUGUUCAGCUCCAUCUCCCCAUCUAGUGGUGAAAGCCAAGCCCAGACCUCAACUCGGGCCUCAAGAGGUUUGAAGGAGGCUUUUGCCAAGCUGCCAGCUAAAGGCUUGGAGCUGUGCUCUCCUGACACCCCCAGGGCUGCCCUGAGCAUCAGGGGCUGUAGGGAAGGUGCACUUACCCAUCAGCUUGCUGUUUUGGAUGUUCUGAAGGUGUUUGACUGUCAUUUCGAGGAUGUCUGCUUUUUCGAGUUUAGACUGCUAAUAAAGAGAGAGUUCAGCAGCUGAGAGGCCAUGAUGUAUUUGUGCAAUGCCAAGUUUCCCAGAAGACAAAGCCCCCUGCCUGUCCCCCCAAAAGCCAAACAAUCCCCAUCAGCAGGACAAAAUCUGUGUAAAAGUGAGCACUUACAUCCAGGUGAAACGCACCCACAACGGUCUCUUUCAGUUGGUCCAAGCAGUUAUUGAUCCUUUCCCUUCGCUUCCGCUCAAUGAGAGGCUUCCUUAGCUGGCAAGGAAGAGAAAAGGAGGAGGAGGAAGAAUUGCAGAUGAUUUCUUUUUCACCUCUCUGCUGCAGUGGAGCGAGGGCCUAACAGGGCUGUGUGGGCUUCCCUGGAGCCAGGAAGGUCACAUCCCUGCGUGAAACCAGCGCGCAGCGAUGCGGCACUCGGCAAGUUACAGAUGGGGAGCUCUGGUCUCUAGCUCUGGUAAGGGCCUGUCCUUUGGGCCGUGCUAGGUCUGAAUUCUCUUACUUACACUCCUAUUAACCACAGCUUACCCAACUGAAACCAAAAGACAGAAACCUUUCUAAGGCAGAGAAAGGAAGCAGAAGAAAAACACCAACACCCACGUGGGUUAAAUUCAGAGAAAGCAUCUGUAUAAUAAGAGGAUGCAAAUGUUGUGUUUCUCUUUCCUAGAAGUCCGUAGCCCCCAUCGUUCACCUGCCGAGUUCCAGCGUCCAUCCACGCGUGGGCUUCCCCUGGGACCUACCUUCCUUUCCUCCUUGGUGCUGGAGAGCUUGUGCACGCCGCCGGCUGUGGCUGCGGCAGUCAUUGUAAUCCAGCCUGGCCGCCCUGGCACGCUGCGAGGACAGGGACGUGGAGGAGGCACUCGGGCAGUAGGUCGCUCCCUGUCCCUACAGGCUCUCUGCCUCUCCUCUGCUCCUCUGCUGUAUUUAUAACCCAGAAUUAGCAUGUGAAAGGGGCCUUGCCUUGGCGGGACUUCUUUUCCCACACGAGGGGUCGAGCCCAGAGGUUUGUGGCCAUCAAUCAAAGCUGACAGGUCACUGCAUCUUUUCAAUGACCACGCCGGCCCCCCCAAACGGCGACAGAUGUCCAGCCUCCAAAGCUUUGCUUUGUAGGGAUCUUUUGUUAAGGAAGGAGGGAAGCAAAAUGGGCGCGCUCUGAGCAGCUUGCGUGGCUCCUUGCUCAAUUUGCACAGAUUCCCAGGGAGGAAAACAAUAGCUGGGAACCAGUCGAGUUACACCUGGGAAAAUGCCUCCCAUGUGUCUUUCUUUUCCCUGCAUCUCCUUGAGCCAGCGCUGCUUUUUACCUGCUAACCUGAGCCUCAAUCACUUUAAAUCUUUGAAGCAGCCUCUUAAUUUAAUAAUAGAGUGCUUGAUCGACCAGUUCCUGCUCCUGGGAGUUGUUAUUGCAAGGCAACGACGAUCGAUUAAAAACUGUUGACAGCAGACAGCUACAGAAACAUUGUAUUCAUCAAAAAAUCCUCUAGGGAAAGCACUUCAUUUGCCUCUUGAGAACCCAAAUUCUCUGCUGUACGCAGCUAGAUGUAAGAAAUACGAAGCUCUUCUAAUUUUUGACUGCCGUGUAGUAUUUAAUAUUAAACUUACAGACAAUUGCACAUGCAAGCAAACCUAGAGGUGAGUUCGGUCCUGCUAAUUCUGUGGGACUUUUACUUGUUUGCUUUUUUCCCCCUUUCAUGCUGCCAGGAGUCUUGGGUGCUUUGGGGGGGAGGGUGUUUUUGUUUGUUUCUAAUCCUCUGAAAUGCUAGUGCGGAAGCACAUGGGCCUUCAAAGCAGACUUGGCACAGGAUGAGAAUGUGCCUUUAUGCUUCCUCACUUCUGUCUGGUUUUGAGGGGGAGUAUGAAGGCAUCUUUCAUGACUGUGCUUUUGCUUUCUGACAGUUGCUUUGCUAAUGAGCAGGAUCUGGCAGUGUCCUGUUGAGUCACGGAGGUGAAGCCCUUUAGGGUGGUGUUGAAUGUGCCACCUUAUUUAAAUGGACAGGAAGAAGCUCGAGUGGUUCAGAAGCACCAAAAGCCACCACGAGCUGCUCUUGGGAUUUCCCAUCGCCCGGCACAGCGCUGCAGCUGCAGAGCCCUCACUCCACCCCUUCAACCGUAGGUGGUGAUGUACCCCAGGAAUAAAAGCAAGGACAUCACGUCCCUUGCUUAAACACUGUGUGGGUGUAUGUUUGUAUGUGUGUGAAUGCAAACAUAACUGCAGUGUGUCUGCACGCACUGCUGCCUGGGCUCCUGAUGAAAACAUGUCCCCAGACGUGGUAUCUUGCAGGCAGGGGUUGUUAGUCAAAUGCAGGCACUGGGUGCAGUUGCUUGGUUUUAUAAGUGCCCUACUUGGCAAGGGUGCACGAGGGAGAGCCUGAGAUGGGAUGGAGUUUGUUUCUCAGGGAGAGGAGGACAUGGGAGGGGACAGUUUGUCCUUCGUGCCAAGUGAUGGUGAUGCAGCACAGGAGCAGGGAUGGGCACCUUAUAUCAGAUCUGUCCCCUGCACAGAAAACUGGAGGAUUUUCCACUCUCCAGAGACUGGCAAGGAGGGUUGGGAGUGCGAAGUUGUGGGCUGUGUCCCCUCAUAGCCAUUCUGAAACCUCCCCCCUCUGCCUGGGGCCCCCUUCUGCCCCAGCCCCAAUGCUGGUGACCUGCCUUUAUGGAAUGGCUGGGGCUGGCAGCGACCUUAAAGAUGCAUCUGGCUCCUCAGGGCUCUUUUGCAAGGGGCUGCACUGGUUCAUUGAAACAAGCACAGGCUGUGUGUGUUUGAGGGGAGGUGCUGAGGAUGGCGGGGAGCAGCUUGAUGGCCCCCGGUGCCCAGCCCCAGAGCCCCAGCUGAGCCCCAAGACUCUGGGGAUACCCUUGCUUGCAGAGCGCUCACUGCCCUGCCGGCCUCUGCUCUUGGUGAGCUCAUUUCAAGGUUCAUUUGUAAGACAGCAUUUCACUGAAAAAGAAGAGCAGCUUUUGCUGUAAACGGUUAUUUUACACCUCUCAUUCAGAGCAAAACCCUUUAUUUUCAAAGCAAAGGGGGUGCACAGGCGGGAGAGCUGCCCUGCCUUUCAGGGGGAAGCACGACAUCUGUGCUCGGGAUUGUAUGGACCAAACAGGCAAAUGCAAAUGAGCACAGAGCAUUAAAGGAAGCUUUUUGCAAAUUCCUGCUUUACUUUUGCAUUGCGCACUGCCAGGUUUCACUGAAAAGGGGAUUCUCCUUAGUAAACAAAGCCUCCCUUUUUUCCCGAGCUUUCCAAAAAAAGGGAAGAGAAAGGGCUCGGUGCUGCUUGGAGUUUUCUUUUUUGCUAUUUGUCUACAUUUCACACCCUGGAGAAAGAAAACAACUUUUAACAUCUGUUCCUGCACUUUUUAAGAUGGAAAUAAAGGCUCUUGAAAAUGGGGAAAGUGUGGCAGAUGUUGGCAGAUUCCCUUCAACGCAGAUGUCUUGCUCUGAAAAAAGUUUCUUUAGGAAUUUGUGGCCACGGCUCCUCUUUGACUUGGGACACGCGACUGCCUAGCGACUGAAGGGACGUGGGAAAGCUCUAUAGGACAAAAGAGCUUAUUCAAACAAACCUGAGAGCCGUGAACAAUCUAAUAACCAGCAGAGAAAUGGUCAGCGGCCUCCAGCCCUGCCAGGGAGGGGUGGCAGCCCUUGCCUGGUGCUGGCGGGGCUGGGGGCAGCUGAUGGCCGCUGGAAGGGGCCUCCUGCUUUCGGUGCCUCUAAUUGCAAGGCAAAUUUCCCCUCGCAGCCUCCGCGUGAAGCUGUGUGCAGCUGCAGGGGUGGUGCCACCAAGGUCUCUUCCCAUCAGGUGUCAUCCGUGUCCCGCAGAUGACCUGCUGUUGCUCCUCAUGCUCUGCGUGCUGAGGCCUGGCUCCGUAGGAAGCCGUUCCUGGGCAGGAGGACAUCACACAGGCCUGGAGCAGCCCUUACUGAAGAGGGGCCGGUGUGAGAGCCAUAGGGGUGUGCUGUGGGGCCACCAGUGCUGUGGGUGGGAGGCCGACGCACCAGGAGAGGGUGUCUCUGGCCUGUGGGGUGGCGGCGACAUCUCGUCAUUUCCAGCCCCUAGGGGUUUCUCAGGGGCAGCGUGGGGCUGCUUGGUGCUCCCCUCCCGCAGCCUCUCCACGUCCUGGUGGCCAAAGAUCUUCUUCCUUGAGGUGCUCGAGGUCAGCCACAUCUCAGCUGACCUGCAGAUUAGGCUGCAGAUGUCCUUGUUUGAAAUGAUACGAGGAGAAUCCUUCUGCCCAACAGCCUCGAUUUGACCAACUUGAAGAUUGUCACUGCUGUCUUCCUGGUCCAAUCCUUCCCACUUUCACACCUCUCCCCACAGGCUGUGGGAUCGCUCUCGGCAGUUUGCGCAGGACCGUUCCCAUGGUGGCUGCCCUGGCAUCCCCUGCUGGAUUUACCUGUCGGGAAGGAGAGAUCAAAUCCAUGCUGCUUUCUGAGGAACUGGCCAGUGUCUUGGAAUAGACCUUGCUAACACCAGAGACUCACUUCUUCUCAGCCUCAUCACCUCUGGAGAAGACCAUGUUCUUGUUACCAACCGUGACGCCCAUGGUCAAGUGGGGGCCAGUCUGGACAAUGUCCAAAGCAAUUCAUCAUGGUAUAGAGGUUCUCCUGCUCCAAAAGCAUUUUUAGGUGGACAGAGAGAGGACAUCAUGCAGUACUAUCCUAUGCCAUCCCCAGCUCCGCAUGCUCAGUAUCAGCUGACUGUACCAUCUUCAGAAGUGGACUCCCGGUAUAGGAAAUAAUUACAAGGCAGGUACCAGCUGAGUAAUUUUCAGCUCUUCUUUCACACACACCCCUCCAGUCUUUGUGUUAAGGAUCAGCUGAUGUUCCUGCUGUUGCUCAACAUGUCUCCUGUCUGGCAGGUUAGCAGAGCUCCUGCCUCUGGAGGAAGUCUUAUCUCAUGCUUUUGCAGCCAGAAAGCUGCUGGUUGCAACAUGGAGUCUUAGGCCAAGAGUGAGUUAUAGGAAGAAGAAAAUCUGAUAAGCUGUGUGGGUGGUGACACUCUGAUAAGGCCUAACCUCUUGCCUGUACUGCAGCAGUGGAUGGGGGCAAAGAGCCAAGCUUGGUGGAAAGAGCAGGGGGCUUCGAGGGAGAGCUCGAAGCAGUUCUUGAGCUUUCCUCGUUGGGCAUCCCAGGAUUUGUUUUGUUGAGAAGGGCAGCUCUGGCCUUUUUCACACUCUGUGCGUCUAACUUUGCCAGAUGUCACCUGAUAACAGGCCUCAUCUAUAAUGCAGCAAGUGCUUGGUUUAUCCAGCCAGCUUCACUUUCACAGCAAUUUCUGCACGUGUGUCCUUGCUCCCCAGAUGUCAGAAACCAGAGCUUGGCACCCCACAGCAGCCUUUGCACAUCCCACACAGCCCGUUUCUCCUUGGCUUCUUGGUUCCUGAGGCCUGCAGAAGGAGCUGGGGCCAUUUCACCUUCAUGAGAUAAGUCUCUCUUCUGUGACUGGGUAAAUUCAGCUUUCACCCUGGCUUGGCCACAGGCCAAGAGCAGCUUUCUUUUUAUAGCGCACGUGUAUACACGUGCUGACACCACAUCCUGGCCCUCGGCACAAACCCCCUUGUCAGCACAAUGGAGGCAAUGAGGAUGGUCACCGCUCCUUCUCUGCGGGACGAGCACCUCGCAUUCCUCGUGCCAGCGCCUUGUGCUAGGCUUUCCGCGCCUCAGCAUCUGCCACAGGGCACGAAAGGACAGCCAGGAAGGCAGUGGGCUUAUAAACAGCACUUCCUCCGUGCUGCUCACUUCUGGUUCUGUGGGGCUGCGAUUGCAGCACCGGAGGAUGUGAGGAAACGCGUGGUUAGGGCUUGUGUGCCUCUCAGGCUCAGUUUUCACGCAGCCCCUGCUGGCUUUGGGGGCAGCAGAAAGCACAAGAGCUUAGGGUGGGAGGGCGUGAGCUGCAGGGCAUAUUUUCUUCAUCAGCCAAGUCCAGCCUGGAUUGCACAUAAAAUCACAUUCUGGUGUUUAAGGUAUGAGGAUUUCUUAUUCGUCUGGAGGAACCAAGGGGUCUGGGACACAGCGGCUCAGAGGAAGGGAGAGCACAUCUCCCAUGGGUGAGAGGGCAGUGAGGACCCAUACAAAGAUAUGUUUCAAUGAAACUGCAAUGGCUCUUCUGUUAACUCAGCCCCUCAGCAGACCAAAUCCAGCUGAACCACAUGCAACAGCACUAAUCUAGUGCCAUUCAUUGUAGCAGUUUUCUGCCGUGAGAGCUAAUUAGUUAGUUUCUGUAAAGACCUUUGAAGGUGUAAAAUGCUAAGUAAGUGUGUAGCAGUAUUAUCCAAAGGGUGUGGACUUCAAAGCGUAAUGGGCACUAUUUAAAUAUGAACAUUAGCAAAUACAGCUCAUAAUUUCUUUAAAACAAAAAAGAACAGCGUGCCAAGAGGAGGACCGAGCCCUGGACUGCAGAAAUCAGUCUCCAGCCCCAGGGGACACAGAAAGGGGAUUGGGAUGCACACAGUGGGGCUGCCAGCAGGGAUGCUUUCACCCUUCCUGUCUAAUGGGCAUCUCUGCCAUCUCCUCGUGCUGGUUCAUCUUCCUUCCUUUUUUGCCAAGGCAACAGGACACGGGAUGACAGCGCACACGUGUCUGCCUUUCUGUGGAGUUUGGCUUUCCAAAGGAGCGUUUCUGUAUCAGCACAUCUGAGAAACAGCAGUCACUUUGGUAACACUGACCCUGAAGAAGAGUCACAAAAACCAGUCAUUCCCCUGGAUGGUGAGCCUUCAGUUCAUGACCCUUGGUGUUCAGCCUUGGCAUACCGGCAUAGCCGAAUUGUGUGGCAGCUCUCAGGGAUGAUGGUCAUGCAGGCAUCUGUGAUGGUGACAGCAAGCUGGAUAUGACCAGCGGUGUGCCCUGGCAGCCAGGAGGGCCAACCGUACCUUGGGGUGCACCAAGCACAGCAUCACUGGUCGGUCAAGGGAAGGGAUUGUCCUGCUCUGCUCUGUGCUGGUCCUGCCUCACCUCGAGCACUGUCUGCAGUUCUGGGUACCACAGUACAAAAACUGUUGGAGUGUCCAGAGGAGGGCGAUGAAUAUGGUGAAGGGCCUAGAGGGGAAGACAUAUGAGGAGCAGCUGAGGGCAGUGGGCCUGGAGAAGUGGAGGCUGAGGGGGGACCUCAUCACAGCCUACAGCUUCCUCACAAGGGGGAGCAGAGGGGCAGGCACCAGUCUCUUCGGUCUCCAAUUAUAGGACCCAUGGGAACGGUGUCAAGCUGAGGCAGGGGAGGUUCAGGCUGGACACCAGGAAGAGGUUCUUCACCGAGAGGAUGGUCACGCACUGGAACAGGCUCCCCAGGGAUGUAGUCACUGCACCAAGCCUGCCAGAGCUGAAGAAGCGUUUGGGCUGUGCACUUAGUCACAUGGUCUAAAAUUUUGGGUAGACCUGUGUGGUGCGAGGAGCUGGACUCAAUAAUCCUUAUGGGUCCCUUCCAACUCAGGAUAAUCUAUGGUUCUAUGGGUUCUAUGGUCAGAAGGCAUCUGUGGGGGCAUAGGCGGCUGUGGGAGCCUGCAGGGGGCAGUGGGGACUGGGGAUGCCACCCACCAAAGGGACCCCUGCACAGAUUUACGGAGCUCCGCUGUGUUCUGCCACUGCUUCCAGUGCAAGUGUCAAAAGGAGAAAACCCAAAGGUAGAAGCCAAUAGAUGGAACACCCUUUUAAUCCUUUCACCAGCAUUCACAGCCUUAUUUCUUUCACAUGUGAUUGGGGAUUUGUAGAUGUAUUUGCUUCCAGUUUGAUUGAAUUAAUGGAUGUAUUUCACUGUGUGGUUUUAUUUAUUUAUUUAUUUAUUUUCCUUCUUUUAUUCAGGAAAUACAUUCUGUCAUGGCAUUGUUCUUCAGAGAGACUGCUGUUAUUUCCUUUCAUGUUUACCAACUGAUGGAAAUCUGUUUUUGGCUUUAGUAGUAGAUUCUGACUGGAAUGGAUGCUGCACUUUAUAGAUAGCUUUCAAUUGUUCUACAGCAAUAAAAAGUUUAUUAAAAUGACAUGGUUUUGCGACAUGACAUACAGCUAUUGUUGCUGUCCAGGAAAUGAAUUUGCAACAGGCUUUUUUCCUAUGAUUCUUCUGGCAAUUGUGUUUUCUGUUUCUGACAGCCUUUACAGGCUAUCCUCAAUUCCUGUGAUUUGCAAUAAUGUUUUAAAAAUAGGUUUUAAUUCUGAAGUGGCAGCUUGAAUUGAGGACAAAUUAUACCAUUCUCUUGAGAAAAAAAAAAAUAAUCCUGAUAUGGAUGAGAAUUACAUUUACUUGAGCUUUCUCCUGUAAAUAUGCUUUUUUGGGGGUGUUGGUCUGUUCUUUACAUGUGAAUUGAAUGAACUGAAAGAUGACAACACGCUCACCAGUACGUGUUUCUUUGAGAAAAGCUUCUGGAGUCAGCAGUGAACAUCCACAGCCAGUAGCAGAGCUGAAAUGCAGCCUCAGGAAAAGUCACAGGCACUUUGGAAACCUGGGUGAUUAAAUUCAGCCUCUUCAGCUUGGCCUGUUCCACAGUCUGUGGAAAGACUCAAUUCUUUUUCUUCCAGACUUUAAGCAGAAGAUAUUUAGCAUAACUGCAGUAGUUUCUGGUGCUAAUAUUUUCUUCCCAAAGCUUUUUCCAUUAAACUCUUUGUCAGGGAACAUGAACCUGGGUUUUGGUCUCUGAAUUCUAUCAGAGCGUCCCCAUGCCCAAGCAGUCUUGAACUAAAUCAUAAACCGGAUGUUGGUUUAUGUUAUUUCUUCAUUGUAUAUGUGUCAAGGCAGCUGGAGAGAAGACCCGGAUUAUUUUUUCAAAUGCUCUGUGUCAUGCCUGUUGUGCGACUGUGGGACUGGCCAUGUAGUUAGCAGGAACAUCUCCGUAUCAUGUGGAGCAGUGGCGAGAUGCACAAGGUAAAGGCAUUUGUUUCCACCUUCCUGGGCUACCUGCCUGCUGCUCGCCUUCGCUCCUGUUCCCAGUGCCUCUGCCCUAACGAAAUGAGGGAGAUGUCAGAGCAAGGUAAAAAAAGGUGAGUUGCUUCCCCUGCGUGAAGUACUAAGGAAGAGGAGGGUGCAGCAGAGGUAUUAAGAAAUACACCCUGAUCCCUGCUUUUGUGGCAGCACCUGUGUCUCUAACUAAGGAAGAAAGUAACCACAAAGUGUCAGCAGCAGAACCAGAGCUAAAGUGCAACUAAAAACCACAUUCAAAACAUGCGCUGCCCUUCGCUUCCUUGCUCUCAACUUCUCUUUCUCUGCUUUUACUUAACCAGCCGGUGUGGCUCUUCCCCCAUUUCCUCCUUUCUCUCUGGGCUCCGGGGCUCAGAGACGGUGGCACUGGGACCCCAGGGCUGUGGGAACUGGAGGGAGAGGGUGCAGGAGGCCACCGCCGCCGCCUCUGAGCAGCUCGAGGUUCUUGCUUUUUUGUCAGAGACAGCAGAAGGAGGUUGGGUGCCGUUACAUCACUGCUGUGAAAUGCAUGUUAAUGGCUCGUCAGCUCGGCUCCACGUUUGGUGGGAGGGAAAGCCGGUGUGUCUGGCAGCGCCAGGCCCUGCAGCAAAUCGCAGGGUGUUGGUGCUGGUGGUGGUACUGGCCCCAGCUGCUGUUUUUUUUUUUGUUUUUUUUUUUUUUUAGUCAUGUUUAUUCACUUCCUAAUUUGCAAGAAUUAAGCAAUUCACAACGAAUGUCUCGGUCAAUGGUGUGAAUUGGUGAAUGGCUACUGUACUAAAAGAUCUCUCACAUGUUGAAUUUAAUUUCUGAGAGCUUGGAAAACUCAUGGUCUCUCUGCUCACGGAUUUCCCCGAAGUACACCACAUGGUGAUGGUAAUUAUUCUGAACACAUCACUUGUGUGGACUUUUUUCCAGCGGUCACUUGUAAAGCAGCAGUGUCUACAUGGAUUUUCCAAGUGCUGGCAUUGAAUUACUGUGCCAGUCCUUGUCUUUAAUUCUUUCUUCUCUCUCUUCGCUACCCCGAAUAUUAUCUGUUUAAACUUGAAUGUUUUUAACAUAAUUACAGGUUAACAAUUCGAGCUCAGACAUACACACCCUUUCGAUGUUGGCUGUGAGAACAAUAAUUUCCAGCUCACAAGCAGGAUACACAAACUGCCAACAUUUUGCCGACCGCAUGCUGUGGGCCCAGACAAGCCUGGCAAACCAUACCCGGAGGCCUUGUCACCUUGUCACCCGCACGAGAGGCAUGUCCCACCGCGCACUUCAGGCCCAGAACUGCCCUGUCUGUCUGUGAGACGAGCUGUCAUCACAAGGAGAUUUUUUUUUCCCUGCCCCACCUUCCAGUGGUUCAGGAAACCAUCCCCACGGCCGCAGCGCUGCUGCAGCUGCCCGGCUGCGUAGCUGAAUGCAAAUUCAUGUGCACUUUGACACUGCCAUGCACAGGGCUGGUUACAGGUGUGGUCAGAAAUGUUCUUCUGAGCCUGAGCCCUAGGACACAGCCCACCCAGCAGGCCUCUUCACGUGGGCAGCACAGGAGGCCAAGCCUUUCACUUGUUCCAUGAGAUCUCUCUGUAGCAGAGCCAGUGACAGGAAUCUCCUUGUGUCUUAAUCAGCUUUUAUUUAUUUUUUUUAAAUGCCCUCAUUACCAGGAAAUGCCACUGCUACUGUUCCUCAAAGAAGGGGAAUACCUGUAUCGUUAAGUGUCUCCCCAACCACCACCACCCUGACCAUCUCAGUACACAUAAGAUUUCUCCCUGUUUUUUUGUUUGUUUGUUUGUUUGUUUUUGACAUACUUCUGUCUGUAAUGCUGUAUAUUGCUAUAUUAUGUAUAUUAUGUUAUGUAUAUUGUAUAUGGCAGUGAAGCCCUGGGAACUAUCAAGUCUGAAACUGGAGGUGAACAAGGGGACUUUCAACAGGGAAGAGAGCGGGAUGUUACAGGCAGAUGGCAUGCAAAGGAUCCAGGAAUGAAAAAUCUGUCUCACAGGGGCGAGAAGUUGGGUUGUGAAAUACUGGAGGUUGCUGUCAGGAUACUAAAAGACGCAGUUAGUGCAGAAUACACGUAGAUCCAGAAAUGCAACACGUGGGGCGAUGCAGUGGCCAAGCAUGUUGCUGGGGCACACCAGCUGAGCUCUGCUGAGCUGCUGUUUUCUUGGCCCUCUGGUUGCUGCCCAGUGAGGCAGCUGGUGGUCAUAUUUGUUGUCUAUUUGGUGAUUGUAUGUGUUGUCUAUGAAAACUAUUUUUGCUUAUGCUUGAGUGUUUUUAUUAUUAUUAUUAUUAUUAUUUUUAAUUUAGUAAACUUCUAGCUUAGAGGAAGGGAACAUCUGCCAGGUGUCAGGGCAGAGAAGUGCGCAGGGGCAAAGGUUCCCGAGGGCAGUGUAUAAGUGCAGCUCCACAGGGAAACCCCACUGUGCCAGUUCAGGUGCCCUUAUGGAAAUCGCUUUCACUUUUCACCUGCCCAGUCACCUCCUGGUGGCUUGAAUACAUCCUCACUCCACUCAAGAUGAGAGUUAUGUUUUACUUCCCAUUUCUACUCUUUUCACAAACAAAUCUCUGGUUGCCUUUCCCUAGAGGGAGAAGGAAGAAAAUCAGCCUUCACACCUCCCUGCAGACCUUCACCUGGCUCUGGUGCUGCAGGUUGCCAGAGGCAGGGCAGGAGAACCAUAUGAACCAGGCAGGCAAGAAAACCAAAUGUCUCAUUUCCUCAUAUCCACUUCUUCCUUUCCUGCUCCUGCAGCUUGUCUCUAGUGGAGGGCACCAGACCAGCAGGGAUUUGGGGGACUGGCUGCUCUGCAGGACCUCUCUGCACAGGGACAGCAGCAGAAGUGCUGGGCUGCCUUUUCAAUCCAAAAUGCAAUAAACCCCACAGUAAGAGUUGUUGUGUCCAGUGCUGUGUCCAGGUAAGGAACGUGUGGGAGAGCAAGGGACAGCUUGGCCCACCUGACACAUUUUUUUUUUCUUUUAAAGGCAGAAAAGGCAAGGCAUAACACACAGAGUUCAAAGCAGUAACAUUCUUCUGCAGAAAAAAAUGACACUGAGAACUCCAACCAAAAACUUUCCCGGUGAUGUGACAGGCAAGCUACAGGAGAGUAAUGUGAAGAAAUCUAACAUGGCAGAGGUAAUUAAAAAGAAACUGAAGAUAGAAACUGUCAGCUGGAGAUGUACAGCGCAGCAGAGCGUGAGGAGCUUAAGGACUUUUCAGAAAACCAGGCCAGCGAGUCCCAAAUUGCCAUACAGCAGUAAUACAUCAGGCCCGCAGGUGCAAGUGUUCAAAUCAUAGCUUGAAAGAAAUUAAUGACUUGUUCCAUAAAAACAUAUUUUUCUGUUUUA